rnacentral:misc_RNA from 1 species
AAGUCGUAACAAGGUUUCCGUAGGUGAACCUGCGGAAGGAUCAUUACGAGUGAGGCCACCGAACACCGGUAAAACGGUGGUUAGGCGGCUUACACCCACCCGUGUCUACAUACUAUUGUUGCUUUGGCGGGCCAGUGGUCUCCACUGCGGGCUCUGCUCGUGUGUGCCCGCCAGAGGACCAAACUCUGAAUGUUAGUGAUGUCUGAGUACUAUCUAAUAGUUAAAA